GUACUGAGACACGGACCAGACUCCUACGGGAGGCAGCAGUGAGGAAUAUUGGUCAAUGGGCGCAGGCCUGAACCAGCCAUGCCGCGUGCAGGAAGACGGUCCUAUGGAUUGUAAACUGCUUUUAUACAGGAAGAAACCCUCCCACGUGUGGGAGAUUGACGGUACUGUAGGAAUAAGGAUCGGCUAACUCCGUGCCAGCAGCCGCGGUAAUACGGAGGAUCCAAGCGUUAUCCGGAAUCAUUGGGUUUAAAGGGUCCGUAGGCGGUCUUAUAAGUCAGUGGUGAAAUCCCAUCGCUCAACGAUGGAACUGCCAUUGAUACUGUAAGACUUGAAUACUUAGGAAGUAACUAGAAUAUGUAGUGUAGCGGUGAAAUGCUUAGAUAUUACAUGGAAUACCAAUUGCGAAGGCAGGUUACUACUAAGUGAUUGACGAUGAUGGACGAAAGCGUGGGGAGCGAACAGGAUUAGAUACCCUGGUAGUCCACGCCGUAAACGAUGGAUACUAGCUGUUCGGAGCAAUCUGAGUGGCUAAGCGAAAGUGAUAAGUAUCCCACCUGGGGAGUACGCACGCAAGUGUGAAACUCAAAGGAAUUGACGG
rnacentral:rRNA from 1 species